rnacentral:rRNA from 1 species
GACGAACGCUGGCGGCGUGCUUAACACAUGCAGGUCGAACGGAAAGGCCCUGCUUUUGUGGGGUGCUCGAGUGGCGAACGGGUGAGUAACACGUGAGUAACCUGCCCUUGACUUUGGGAUAACUUCAGGAAACUGGGGCUAAUACCGGAUAGGAGCUCCUGCUGCAUGGUGGGGGUUGGAAAUUUUCGGCGGUUGGGGAUGGACUCGCGGCUUAUCAGCUUGUUGGUGGGGUAGUGGCUUACCAAGGCUUUGACGGGUAGCCGGCCUGAGAGGGUGACCGGCCACAAUGGGACUGAGAUACGGCCCAGACUCCUACGGGAGGCAGCAGGGGGGAAUAUUGCACAAUGGGCGGAAGCCUGAUGCAGAAACGCCGCGUGCGGGAUGACGGCCUUCGGGUUGUAAACCGCUUUCGCCUGUGACGAAGCGUGAGUGACGGUAAUGGGUAAAGAAGCACCGGCUAACUACGUG